rnacentral:rRNA from 1 species
UACGUAGGCAGCGAGCGUUGUUCGGAGUUACUGGGCGUAAAGCGUGCGUAGGCGGUGUCUUAAGUUUGUUGUGAAAUCUCCCGGCUUAACCGGGAGGGUGCGGCGAAUACUGAGAUGCUGGAGUGCCGGAGAGGUAAGCGGAGUUCCUGGUGUAGCGGUGAAAUGCGUAGAUAUCAGGAGGAACACCUGCGGUGUAGACGGCUUACUGGACGGUAACUGACGCUGAGGCACGAAAGCGUGGGUAGCAAACAGG